rnacentral:snRNA from 1 species
UUAAGAAAUCUUUGAUGACGCGU